AGAUAUCUUAGUCUUUUCAAAGUUGCAAGCUCCGGAGACAAUUCUCUUAGAUCUGUAUUUAACAAAUUGAGAUAUUGCAAUGUAACUAAUUUACCAAUUCCAGUAGGUAAUUUAGUUAUUCUAGCAUUUGACAAAUCCAGAACUUUUAUAACCGGCGUGAAAUGAAAGAAUCCACUCGGAAAUGUUCCCAGGCCUCUACUCCUAACAAUUAAAGUCAAGAGAUUGGGAAAAGAUGGUGGUAUAGUGAGUUCUUCCAAACUACUUGUCGACAGGUAUAUCCGUUGUGCCUCUUUCGCCUUUGAAACUUGGUGAACUUCCAUAGUAUCAACUUCUUCUACCAAGAUUAUGUUCUUAUUGCCCCUAUAUUCUGAAGCUAACCAUAAAGCCAUAUCACGAAUGACAUCAUGCAUUUUAACCCUAUCAAAUUCAGCAUUCUCGAAUAGACAUACUGUCUUUAGAUGCUCAAUGAUGUGGUGCCCAUGGUUUAAUGCUUCAUCUAUGCUAACAAAUCCAUCCAAAAACCCUUCUCCAAUCCAAAGGAAUAUAAGAUCCUCAUCCCAAAUUUCAUGGUCCUCUGGGAAUAUAGCAAGAUAUAAAAAACAAGUCUUGAUGGUGUCAUUUGGCAAGUUAUCGUAACUGAAUUUGAGGACCGGAAAUACAUGAGCUCCCAUACCUGAAAACUUUGAUGGAUAAGUCUUCAACAUUUGGAUUGCUCGCUCCCAUUCUUGUGGAGUCUUCUUGUCAGCCAUAGCUCGCCCAAUAGUGACGAUUGCAAGUGGUAAGCCUUGGCAUUCUUUAGCAGCAAUUUCAGCAAGUUGGGGUAUAUCCGAAUGUGAAUUUAGAGUAGUCUCUCCAACCUUCUUCUUGAACAAAUUAAUAGCCUCAUCUUCUGUCAAACACUCCACCUUAAGGCUUUUUUGAGCUUCCAUAUCCCGACAAACAUCCAGAGAACGGGUUGUUAAUAUUACUUAGGACUUGUUUUGGGAAUUAGGAGAAGGAACCCCCACUUUUUGGAGAUCAAGCCGCUCCCAUACAUCAUCUAGCAGCAUCACAAAUCUUUUUGCCUUCAAGACAUUGAAAAUUUCUACUGCUUUUUCAUCCUCGGUUCUGUUUCUCCAUCUGUCUUCAGGAAUGUCUAACUUGUUGUGAAUGACUUCUUGUACUUUUUCCAUACUUGCUGGCCUGGAUACUACUACCCAAAUGGCGAUUUCAAAGAUCUUGCUCACUCUGAUGAACUCAUUAUUGACUUUGGUCAUGAGGGUAGUUUUCCCGGCACCCCCCAUUCCGUACAACCCAAUAAUUCCCAGCUCCUCGUCUUGGAUGCAUCUGCAAACCUCUGUAAACAUCAUAUCUAAGCCCACAGUCUUCUCCAUCGGCCUCUCAUCCACCGGAGCUUGAGGUAACUUAUCAGCCACAACAUCAAAGCGUCCCUUGUUCCUUAAUUCAGUCACAGCACCCAGCUUUUUACUCGCUUUCUUCCCAACCUUGUAGCUGGACCAGCAGUUUCUGGGACAACAAGUUCUAGGGCAUUUCUUCUGGAUUUCCUGAUCGCCUUUCUCCAGGAUCUCGUUGACUUCUAGUUCCAUGGCUAGUACGCUAUGGAGCCAGCCGUCCACUUCAUUUGUGCGCUUCAUUUGCCGUUGAUCUUCAAGUUCAACUCUUCCCUUCACAUCCUGGUAUGCGCUCUUCAGCUCCUGCGUUGCGUUUCUUAACGAGUCCAUAUUUUCCUGCAGAUCCCUGAUGUAGACUGCAUGCUUGGCUGUGCAGUUCCAUACGCGAGUGACAACAUCCAAGAUUGGGCUCACACAAUCCAUUCCUUGUCUUGAGAGAUGAAAUUCAACGAAAAAACAGAAAAUGGAGGGAUGGGUUUUGUGGGAGAGCAGCAGACUUUUUUUUUUUUUUUUGUGUCAAAACAGUUCUCUCUCUCAAUGAGGAGACUUCUAUGGUUCCAUGCACGCGGUAGGUACCGAAGCGUGAAUUCCCACCGUUGGAUAAGUAAAUCCAAUCAAGACCGUCUAUUUGAUUUUACAAAGGGAGGAAUCGUGACAGAAUAUAUAUCGUGAGAGGGACAGCAAUAAUAUUAGUAUUUAAUUUCUUAUUCAUCAAAGCUGAAUAAAAAGGGUUAAGAAAUUAAUGCAUGGAUACAUUUCUCAUUUUAAUUUUUAAAAACAAUUUUAUUUUUCAUUUUAUAAAAAGUAGGUACAUAGCUUGUGUAGUUGAAAAUAUUUUUUUUAAAUUUAAGAAAGUAAAAAUUUUUCACAUUUUAAAUUUUGAGAAAUUUUUUGAACAACAAAAUGGUAAAUAUUUUAUAUAAGAAUUAUUGGUUUUAAAAGUAAAGAAUAAAAAGUGUAUCUAAUGAAUGCUCUAAACCAAUCAAUACUUACAAUUUGGGGGUUUUUUUAUAGGAGAAAAACCAUAACAUAAAAAGUAAUUUUAAAAUUACAACAUUUUUUAAUUUCAAGUAGGCUUCGUCUUUUACACAGACGAAUUUAGUGUAAAAGUGAACUCGUCUUUCAAAAAAUAAGUUCAAUAUAAAUGAACUCAUUUUUUCAAAAAACGAAUUUAAUAUAAAAAGUUUUAAGGUAAAAACAGAAUUCGUGUUUUGAAAAAACGAAUUCGGUACAAAAAGUGAAUUUGUCUUUUAAAAAGAAAAAAAAAGAGUUUAGUGCAAAAAUAAAAGAAAUAAUGAAAAAUAUUAUAUUUGUAUAUUUAUUUUUUAAAUAAUUAUAUUUUAAAGAUAUAUUUUUUAAAGAAUAUUUUAAAAAUAAAUAAAAAUCACGUGGGUAGUCUUGGGUAUUGGCGCCACAAUCUGUCAUGGAACUAAAAAAGAAAUCUUUUUUGCUGUCCAAGACACAGAAAGAAGAAAAGAUAAUAGAAUAAGUGAUGAGUUGCUCGAGCGAUGGUUUGCCCAAAUUUCAAUCCACUAAAGGUUCCUUUUUAUAUGGCCAUUUGCAGAUUCAUUAAGUCUCUAUUUCAAAUUUAUUAUUUCUAAUUACGGAUUCUGCUUCAACUAUCAUAUUUAAUUAAUUAUUAAUUAUUAAUUAUUUGUUGGAGUUUUGGUCUCAAUAUCAAGUUUUAUGAAUACAUUUUUUAAAAGUAUAAAUAAAUUUAUUGAGAUGAGUAAUGCUUGAGGCAAGAAAAAAAAAUAUAUAUGAACAUGAACACCCAGGAGACAUUCGAAAACUUGUCCAGACAAGUAAAAAGAGAGAAAGACAAAAAAGAAAGAAGAAAAAACUAGAGAGUGCCUGAGAGAGCAUGGGAGAAGAGGGUAUUGAGGUGGGAGAAGGAGCUGGAGCAACUUCUCUACCAUCCUCUCGUUUCUUCACCAGAUAAUGAAGUAAGGAGUGAAAGUGUGCUGAAUGGUUUCAUUUUCCCACUUCAACCCCUCCCACCACUCUGAUUCCCCUAUAAUGGUCUUUAAACUGUUUCUUGCACUGUUUGAAUCUAAUGGCAACUUCCUUAGGUUUGGGCAUUCUUCCACUGAUAGGUACGUCAAGGAAGGAAAUGACAAGGCACGACCACUGAUACUCUUUAGAUUUGGUAGAUAAUUCAAGUUCAAACUUUUGAGUCUUGAGAAUAUGCCAAUGUUUUUUGAGAUUCCACUUGCAUCACCUAUCACUUCUUCCAUGGAUUCACAUGUGCUUGCUACAAGAAAUUCAAGUCUUGGGAUGUAAAUAAGCCAUGCCAAGUCCAACAACUUUGGAAGUUGAUAAACAAUUACCACGCGAAGGCUCUGAAAGUUUGAGUUUGGGAUUAGAUCAACUACAAACCCUUGCCCUGUUCCCUUCUUUUCUAGAUCUACUUUUAUCUCUUGCAAUUCUCCACAUCUAGAUAUUCCAAGGAGUUGUAGAUGUUUCAUUCUAGGCAAUUGGAGAAAGCUCAUAUCUUCCAAGUUCCCAAGGCCUAAACGCCUUAUAGCAUUUUGCAAUUUUUGAGAGCUUCGUAACUUUUGAAAGGACAGAGGACCUACGAUUGGAAAAGAUACCCAAUUUAAAUAUGUAUUCCAACCCUUCCAGAUCUUCUAAUAAUGCUUUAUUAUCCUCCCAUAAAUAAAUAGCUUUAGAAUUCUCCUCUGAAUAAUUGGGUUCCUCCUCCUUGGGUGAAUGAUUGCCUUUUUCUUCCUCCAGUAAAUGAUUAAGUCCCAUGCUAAAAUAUCUCAUUAUUAAGAGAUUCGAUAUCACUUCCUUGGAAAUUAUUUUGAGAUAUGACAUGCUAUGUAAUAGCAAAUAUCUUAUUCUUUUCAAAGUCUUAAGCUCAGCAGACAAUUCUCUUAGAUUUGUCCCUGACAAAUCGAGAUAUUGUAGUGUUACUAAUUUACCAAUUCCAACAGGUAAUUCAGUUAUUUGAGUAAAUGACAAAUCCAAAACUUUUAUAAAUGAAAUGGAAGAAUCCACUUGGAAAAGUCUCCAGGGUGUUCUCCUAACAAUUAAAGUCAAGAGAUUGGGAAAAGAUGGUGGUAUGAUGAGUUCUUUCAAGCUACUCAUCGACAAGGAUAUACAUUGUGCCUCUUUCCACUUUGAAACUUGGUGAGCUUCCAUGAUAUCAUUUUCUUCUACCAAAAUUUUGUUCUUGUUGCCACUAUAUACUGUAGCUAACCACAAAGCCAUAGCACGAAUAACAUCAUGCAUCUUGACUUGAUCAAAUCCAACGCUCUCCAAUAAACAUGUUGUCUUUAGAUGCUCAAUGAUAUCGUGCCCUUGGUUAUAUGCUUCAGCUAUGUUGUUGAAUUCAUCCAAAAACCCUUCUCCAAUCCAAAGAAAUAUAAGAUCAUCAUCUAUAAUUUCAUAGUCCUCUAGGAAUAUGGCAAGAUAUAAAAAACAAGCCCUGAUGGUGUCAUUUGGCAAGUUAUCAUAACUGAAUUUCAGGACCGGAAAUACAUGAUCUCCCAUACCUGAAAACUUUGAUGGAUAAGUCUUCAAUAUUUGUAUUGCUCGCUCCCAUUCUCGUGGUGUGUUCUUGCCGGUCAUAGCUCGCCCAAUUGUAACGAGUGCAAGUGGUAGACCUUUGCACUCUUUAGCAGAAAUUUCAGCGAGUUGUGGUAUAUCUGGAUGUGAAUUUAGAGUAGUCUCUCCAACCUUCUUCUUGAACAAAUUAAUAGCCUCCCCUUGUGUCAAACACUCCACCUUAAUACUUUUUUGAGCUUCCAUAUAUAUCACGACAAACAUCCAGAGAUCGGGUUGUUAAUAUUACUUCAGACUUGUUUUGGGAAUUAGGAGAAGGAACCCCCAACUUUUGGAGAUCAAGUCGUUCCCAUACAUCAUCUAACAACAACACAAACCUUUUCGCCUUCAAGACAUUGAAAAUUUCUACUGCUUUCUCGUCCUCACUUCUAUUUCUCCAUCUAUUAUCCGGGAUGUCUAAUUUGUUGCGAAUGACUUCCUGUACUUUUCCCACACUUGCGAGCCUGGACACUACAACCCAAAUGGUGAUUUCAAAGCCCUUGCUUGCUCUGAUGAAUUCAUUAUUCACUUUGGUCAUAAGGGUAGUUUUCCCGUCACCACCCAUACCAUACAACCCAAAUAAUUCCCAGUUGUUCAUAUUGGAUGCAUCUGCAAACCUCUGUAUAAUGUUGAGCUUUGUGGAGCCUAGUUUUAUUUGAUCCGAUUUGACGACCCGACCCGAAUAAUAUUGCAUGGCUUUUUAAUGGGAGAUUUACUGAGGCCUGUUGGGUCCAUUUAACCCAUUGUGGAACCAUCUUUUGUAAUUAGGGUUUUUUAGUGUGGUGUGGUUGCCGUGUUAUAUAUAGAGAGAAAAUAUUGUAGUCGUCGUGGUUGUACUUUGUAUUCUUCCCUGAUAAUAGUGAUAUCCCUGCAACUCUGUGAAUGUAGGCAUAUUGCCGAACCACGUAAUACUAUCUUAUGCGUGUGAUUGUUUUUCUUUGGCGUGUGUUUUUCUCUAUUUUUUGUUUCUCACAGGUUGGGAAUUCAGUUUAAUUCUCUACAACUGGUAUUAGAGCCUAGGGUUAGGUUUGAGUGGGAGCAAUGGCAGAGGAAGCAGGAAAGGCGUCUGGAAUAGAAAAGUUUGAUGGCACAGACUUUGCGUAUUGGAGGAUGCAAAUUGAAGAUUAUCUCUAUAGGAGGAAAUUGCAUCUACCUCUUUUGGGGACAAAACUUGAGAGUAUGAAGGCUAAGGAAUGGGCGCUUCUUGAUAGACAGGUUCUAGGAGUUAUUAGGUUAACUCUGUCUAGGUCUGUUGCACAUAAUGUUGUAAAGGAGAAGACCACAACAGAUUUGAUCAAGGCUUUGUCCGGUAUGUAUGAAAAGCCGUCCGUAAACAAUAAGGUGCAUCUAAUGAAGAAAUUGUUCCAUUUGAAGAUGGUAGAGAAUACAUCAGUAGCACAACAUCUGAAUGGAUUUAAUAUAAUCACAAAUCAAUUGUCGUCUGUAGAAAUUGAUUUUGAUGAUGAGAUUCGUGCUCUGAUCAUUUUGGCUUCUUUGCCAAACAGUUGGGAGGCAAUGAGGAUGGCAGUAAGCAAUUCUACGGGAAAGGAAAAGCUCAAGUACAAUGAUAUACGAGAUUUAAUUCUGGCUGAGGAGAUUCGCCGAAGAGAUGCAGGUGAAACCUCAGGAUCUAGUUCUGCCCUAAACCUUGAGACAAGAGGCAAAGGUAAUGAUAGAAAUUCAAAUCGGGGUAGAUCAAAUUCUAGAAAUUCUAAUCGGAACAGAAGCAAAUCUAGAUCAUGCCAACAAGUACAAUGCUGGAAUUGUGGGAAAAUAGGUCACUUUAGAAGGCAAUGCAAAAGUCCUAAGAAGAAGAAUGGAGAUGAUUCUGCUAAUGCUGUAACAGAAGAGGUACAAGAUGCAUUACUUAUUGCAAUAGAUAGUUCACUUGAUGAUUGGGUUUUGGAUGUAGGAGCUUCGUUUCAUACCACUCCACACCGAGAAAUCAUACAGAAUUAUGUUGCAGGUGAUUUUGGUAAGGUGCAUUUGGCUGAUGGUUCAGCCUUGGAUGUUGUGGGUCUGGGAGACGUUCGGAUAUCGUUGCCCAAUGAGUCUGUUUGGUUACUGGAGAAGUUUCGACAUAUUCCUGACCUGAGGAGGAAUCUGAUUUCUAUUGGACAACUUGAUGAAGGACAUGCAAUACUAUUUGUUGGUGGUACUUGGAAGGUUACAAAGGGAGCUAGGGUAUUGGCUCGUGGAAAGAAGACUGGUACUCUGUACAUAACCUCAUGUCCAAGAGACACAAUUGCAGUUGCUGAUACAAGUACUGAUACAAGCCUAUGGCACCGCAGACUUGGUCACAUGAGUGAGAAAGGGAUGAAGAUGUUGCUGUCAAAAGAAAAACUACUAGAAUUGAAGUCCAUUGAUUUUGACAUGUGUGAAAGUUGCAUCUUAGGAAAGCAAAAAAAGGUGAGCUUCUUGAAAACUGGCAGGACACCGAAGGCUGAAAAAUUGGAAUUAGUACACACUGAUUUGUGGGGGCCUUCUCCGGUUACAUCCCUAGGAGGUUCAAGGUACUACAUCACUUUUAUUGAUGACUCAAGUAGAAAGGUAUGGGUUUAUUUUCUGAAAAAUAAAUCUGAUGUAUUUGAAACUUUUAAGAAGUGGAAGGCCAUGGUUGAGACAGAAACAUGUUUGAAAGUAAAAUGUUUGAGGUCAGAUAAUGGAGGAGAGUACAUAGAUGGAAGGUUCAGUGAGUAUUGUGCUGCACAAGGAAUUAGGAUGGAGAAGACCAUUCCUAGGACACCACAACAAAAUGGUGUGGCUGAGCGCAUGAACAGAACUCUCAAUGAGCGUGCUAGAAAUAUGAGGUUGCAUGUUGGAUUACCAAAAACUUUUUGGGCUGAUGCUGUUAGCACUACAACUUACCUGAUAAACUGAGGACUAUUAGUUCUCAUGGAGUUCAGACUUCCUGAGGAGGUUUGGAGCGGUAAAGAGGUGAAGUUUUCACAUUUAAAAGUUUUUUGUUGUGUUUCUUAUGUUCAUAUUGAUUCUGAUGCUCGUAGUAAACUUGAUGCAAAGUCAAAAAUAUGUUUUUUCAUUGGCUAUGGUGAUGAGAAAUUUGGCUAUAGGUUUUGGGAUGAACAAAAUAGGAAAAUCAUCAGAAGUAGAAAUGUGAUAUUUAAUGAACACGUUAUGUACAAGGAUAGGUCAACUGUAGUGUCAGAUGUUACAAAAAUAAAUCAAAAGAAAUCUGAGUUUGUCAACUUAGAUGAAUUGACUGAAAGUACUGUCCAAAAAUGGGAUGAAGAAGAUAAGGAGAAUGUAAAUUCACAGGUAGAUCUAAGUACACCUGUAGCUGAAGUUCGCAGAUCUUCCAGGAACAUUAUACCUCCGCAACGUUAUUCACCUGUUUUAAAUUAUCUCCUGUUGACUGAUGGUGGUGAGCCAGAGUGUUAUGAUGAAGCCUUGCAAGAUGAGAAUUCAAGCAAAUUGGAGUUAGCCAUGAAGGAUGAGAUGGAUUCCUUAUUGGGGAAUCAGACAUGGGAACUGACUGAAUUGCCAGUAGGAAAGAAGGCUUUGCACAACAAGUGGGUAUACAGAAUAAAGAAUGAGCAUGAUGGUAGCAAGCAUUACAAGGCCAGAUUAGUUGUUAAAGGGUUCCAACAGAAGGAGAGCAUUGACUACACAGAGGUAUUUUCUCCAGUUGUGAAGAUGUCAACAAUUAGACUUGUACUUGGAAUGGUGGCUGCAGAAAACUUACAUCCUAAGCAGUUAGAUGUGAAGACAGCAUUCCUUCAUGGUGACUUAGAGGAAGACCUUUACAUGAUUCAGCCAGAAGGGUUCAUUGUUCAGGGACAAGAGAAUCUAGUCUGCAAACUAAGAAAGAGCUUGUAUGGCCUUAAACAAGCUCCUAGACAGUGAUACAAGAAGUUUGACAAUUUUAUGCAUAGAAUUGGGUUCAAGAAAUGUGAAGCUGAUCACUGUUGCUAUGUUAAGUCCUUUGACAAUUCUUACAUCAUAUUACUGUUGUAUGUGGAUGAUAUGUUUAUUGUAGGGUUUGACAUUGAGAAGAUUAAUAAUCUAAAGAAGCAAUUGUCCAAACAGUUUGCAAUGAAAGAUUUGGGAGCUGCAAAGCAAAUCCUUGAUAUGAGAAUCGUUAGAGACAAGACUAAUGGUACAUUGAAGCUUUCACAGUCAAAGUAUGUGAAGAAAGUUCUCAGCAGGUUCAACAUGAAUGAAGCUAAACCAGUGAGCACACCCUUGGGUAGUCAUUUCAAACUAAGCAAAGAACAGUCACCAAAGACAGAAGAAGAAAGGGAUCGUAUGAGCAAGGUGCCCUAUGCCUCAGCUAUUGGCAGCUUGAUGUAUGUUAUGGUGUGUACAAGGCCAGACAUUGCACAUACAGUGGGAGUUGUGAGCAGAUUCAUGAGUAGGCCUGGAAAGCAGCAUUGGGAGGCAGUCAAGUAGAUUCUAAGAUAUCUGAAGGGUUCAUUAGAUACAUGUUUUUGCUUCACAGGUGCAAGUUUGAAAUUGCAGGGUUAUGUAGAUGUUGAUUUUGUUGGUGAUAUUGAUAAUAGAAAGAGUACUACUGGGUUUGUUUUUACUCUAGGUGGUACAACUAUAUCAUGGGCUUCAAAUCUACAGAAGAUUGUUACUUUGUCUACUACAGAAGCUGAGUAUGUUGCAACAACUGAAGCUGGAAAGGAGAUGAUUUGGCUGCAUGGUUUCUUAGAUGAAUUGGGUAAGAAGUAGGAGAUGGGCAUUUUACAUAGUGACAGUCAGAGUGCAAUUUUUCAUGCCAAAAAUUCAGCUUUUCAUUCAAAGUCGAAGCAUAUACAAACAAAAUACCACUUUAUUCGUUAUCUUAUUGAAGAUAAACUGGUAAUACUUGAGAAGAUUUAUGGAUCUAAGAACCCGGCAGACAUGUUGACUAAGGGUGUCACUAUUGAGAAGUUGAAGCUGUGCGCAACUUCAAUUGGUCUUCUAGCUUGAGGACAGGAGCAUAAGUUGCAGGGAUGAGGGAUUGUUUCUUGGAGGAUAGCGGUUUGAUGUUGGUGAUUGAACUAGUCUCCAAGUGGGAGAUUUGUUGGGCUUUGUGGAGCCUAGUUUUGUUUGAUCCGGUUUGACGACCCGACCCAAAUAAUAUUGCAUGACUUUUUAAUGGGAGAUUUACUGAGGCCUGUUGGGCCUGUUUAGCCCAUUGUGGAACCACCUUUUGUAAUUAGGGUUUUUUAGUGUGGUGUGGUUGUCGUAUUAUAUAUAGAGAGAAAAUAUUGUAGCCGUCAUGGUUGUACUCUGUAUUCUUCCCUGAUAAUAGUGAUAUCCCUGUAACUCCGUGGACGUAGGCAUAUUGCCGAACCAUGUAAAUAUUGUCUUAUGCGUGUGAUUGUUUUUCUUUGGCGUGUGUUUUUCUCUAUUUUUUGUUUCUCAUAGAUUGAGAAUUCAGUUUAAUUCUCUACACAUACAUCAGAUCUAGGCCCACAGUCUUCUUCACCGGCCUCUCAUCCACUGGAGCUUGAGCUAACCUCUCUGCCACAACAUCAAAGCGUCCUUUGUUCCUUAAUUCAGUCACAACACCCAGCUUUUUACUCGCUUUCUCCCCGAGCUUGUAGCUAGACCGUCCAUUUCUAGGGCAACAAGUUCCAGGGCAUUUCUUCUGGAUUUCCUGAUAGCCUUUUUGUAGGAUCUCGUUGACUUCUAUUUCCAUGACUUGUACACUAUGAAGCCAGCCAUCCACUUCAUUGGUGCGCCUCAUUUGUCGUUGCUCUUCAAGAUCGACUCUUCCCUUCACAUCUUCAUGUACAUUCUUCAGCUCCUGCAUUGCAUUUCUCAAAGAGUUCAUAUUUUCCUGUAGAUCCUGGAUGUAGCUGACAUGCUUGGCUGUGCAAUUCCAUACGCGAGUGACAACAUCCAAGAUUGGGCUCACACAGUCCAUUCCCUGUGUUGAGAGAUGAAAUUCAAACAGGACAAACAUGAGAUUAUAAUAGGCAGUCUACACACGAUUAAAGUCAUUUGGCCACUGCUUCCCCUUCACAUUUUGGUUGCGAUUAGUCUGGGUUUUAACAUUUCAAUUAGGAAUUGGUUAACUUGCUUAUGGCUUUAAAUUCAAAAUUAAUUUGCAAAUAUAUAGAAUAUAUUGAAAUUUUUAACAUAAUCCAAGUAGAAAGAAAACUUCAGCUUUGGAUGAGAGAAUUUAUGAAUGCUUCCGAAAUUACCCCUUGUUUUUGCUGUCUAAUGGAAGAAUCUUGCUUGCAACCCAAAUGCAGAGGAGAUAAUGCUGGAAAUCACUUUGGAAUCUUCUUAAGAAUAUGCAAAGAGGGAACGAGAGAGACAAAAAUAAUAUAAAUGUUUAAACAUGACCUAGUCAUCUCAUGGGUGGGGGAAUCCAAAAGGAAGAAAGAGAGAAUCAAAUUGAAAAGGAAAUGGACAAGAAGAAAGAUAAUCAAAACCGAUGAAGUAAUCAAAAAGAAGAAAGAGAAUCAAAACUGAUGGAAUAAUUAGAAAGGAGAAUGAGAAUCAAAUCAAGAAGGAAAUGAACAUGAAGAAGCAUAAUCAAAAUCAAAAUCAAACCAAAUGAAAAGAAUUAAGAAAAGGUUAAAUAUGCUUUACCCUGUUGUCGCGUUUUUCACUUUGUUUUCUUAUGUUCAAAAUCCAAUACUUUACUCCUAAAUUUGUUAAAGAGUAACAGUUUGCCCCAAAUUAAUGACUCUAUAAAAUUAGAAAAGAGAUUAAUCUUUUUUGCACCCUAUUUCGACCAUAAGUACAAUCUUAAAUUGAACCAAUUUUCAAUUAACAACUAUAAAAUGGAAUUUUUGAAACACUUUAAAAAUAUGAUUGCGACUAAUUUUGAUUUUUUAUUUUGAGAAAUGUUAGUAUGAUUAUUUGUCAUUUUUGUAUGCAUUUGCGAAGUAUAACAACUUGAAAUUUUGGAUAGAAUGUAUUUUUUUUUUUACUUUUAUUUUUACAUUUUAGCCUUGUUUCUUUAUUUAACAAGUUGUUUAUUGAAUUCUUAACAAGUUUGAAGAGUAAAGUAUUAUUCUAUAAUAAGUUUUAUAAACAAAGUAUUAAGUUUUAUACGUGAUGGAGUGUAGAACACUUUAAAGUCUGUGGUAAAAUGUAUUUAACCCAUUAAAAAAUUAGUGCAUGUUAAGAUGUAUUUAUCAUUUUUAUUUUUUAUUUUUUGAAUAGAAAGUUUUAUAUAAAACGUAAGUACAUAGCUAGAGUAGCUGAAAAUAUUUUUAAAAAUUUAGGAAAGUAUUCCCCAAUUUUUUAAAUUUUGAAAAAAGUUUUUACAUUUUUUAAAAUUUUUAUAUAAGAAAGUAAAAAAUUAUAGUAAAUUUUGGUGCUUUUUUUUUUUUUUCCUUUGUGUAUGAAUUGUUAUACUUUGGUGAAUGCUCCGAACGAGCAUCACUAUUUGGACAGUCUGGGUGACGGGCUACAAUCUGUCAUGGCCAGUAAAAAAUAUCAUUGGUUUUAUGUUUCCAUUUCUUUUUCUUUGCUCCUUACAAAGAGAAUAGAAUAAGUGAUGAGUUGUCAAGGGAGGUUUGCUCAAAUCUCUAUCUACUUAUUUUCAUGGACGACAUAUUCUUGUUAAGGUUUUGACUUCUCUCUUCCACAAGCUAUUCUGCUUCAUCUCUCGAUCUAAAACUUUUGAUCUACUGUACUAAUUCAUAUUUUUUGAGAACAUAGACUAAAACCCGUCUAAAUUAUUUUAUUUUAAAAACAGGUUUAGGAAAGUAUUACCAAAAAUUUGUUUCAAAAACUAAUGAGUGUAACAAAUAUACAAGAGAUUUUCUCACUCAACUUUACACACAAUACAAGCAUGAAAGGAUUUUCUUUUUCUUUUUCUUUUUAGAUGAUUAUUUUGCAAUCCAUCCUAUGCACAUGUAGCGUCCAAUAAUUCAACAUUUACAAGAAGUUUCAGUUGAGUCAAAUGUUCAUCAAAAACUUGUCCUACAAAAGCAAGAGAGCAAAUCAAUUGGGACAUUUGUCUACUAUUUAAAUCAUAGAACAAAUUUGCUUCUAUGAAUAUGAGAAAGAACUUCAUUUCUUUCUUAAAUUUAUACAAUAAUGAAGUUAAUCUAAAAAUUGUCAUGAACAAUAUUUUAUUAACAUCAUCAACCAAAAUUUUUUCUCAAUCAUUGCAAUAGAUAUGGAAAUGUAAAGAAAUUAAGUUAAAUUUGAUUUGAUAUUUAUAAUUAGGCCAUAAACAAAGAAUUAAUCUAAAUUUGUUGGUCGGAGUUGAAUGCUGGAGCUAAAAUAAUAUAAAUGAAGUUUAAAAUAAAAAGUUAAGUUCAUUUGCCUUUCAUGAAGUUUUAGAUAAAUACACUUAACUCUCAUUGAUCUGAAAUUUUAUCAAAUAUCUAUUUUUAUUCGCCUCCUCUUUUACUAAGAAUAAAAGAGGUAUUUAAUGAAAUUCUAAACAAAUGACAUUUAUGUGUAUUAAGCCAAAAUCCAAUGGGAGGUAAGUGAAGUUAACUUUUAAAAUAAAUUCAUUAUUAACGACUUUAUGACUAAAUUAAAAAAAAAAUUGUAAUACUUUUUCACAGUUUAAGUUCCUUUGUGUAAAAUAAUUUUGAAAAUAAACAUAUAUGAAACAAUUUUGAAAAUUUUUUAUUGAAAAAUUCAAGAGACAAAAAAAUUAGGGUCUAUUUGAUUGCUGUUUUUGAAAACUGUUCUGGAAAACAAAUUUUGACAACAUAUUUUAGUAUUUUCAUAAACAAAUUGUGUUUAGGAACUAAAUUGAGGAAAAUAGUUUUUAUUCUAAAAAAAAAAAUGUUUGGUUGAGUUAAUAAAAAGUUUUUUAAAAUAAGUAAAACAAAAAACAUGUUUCAAUGUAGUUUUUUUUUAAUUAAUAAAAUAUUUUAUUCCAUUAACUUGAUAUUAUAAAUAUAUAAAUAAUUUUUAUAUGCACAAUUAAUUUAAAUUAAAAAAAAUAUUCUAUUUUGAAAUUUUUACACAAAUUAUAAUUUUUUUAAACAAAUCAUAACUUUGUAACCAUGUGUAAGUAUAUUAAUUUUAAUAAUUUAAGAAAGAAGAAAGGGCUUGUGGGUGGGAGUGUGGUGGUUGAGUGUAGCUCACUUCUGUGGAAACACAAAAAGCAAUUAGGAAAACAUAGAAAGAAGAAAGAGAAAACACAGAGAGCCAUCUAUUAUUUAAACAAUGAAAAAACAAUAAAAAAUAUAUUUUUAUUAUUAUAAAACAAUGGUUUUUGAGAAUAAGAAAAAUGCAAAAAACAAAAACAUACCCCAUUCUCAAACAUGUUUUUAGUGUUUUCUGUUUUCAAGAAUGUAAAACAAUUAUUGAAAACAACAACCAAACAGACCCUUAAUAUUUGGUUUUGGAAAAAAUUAGAAACAUAAAUAUAUAAAUUAAUAAAGAAUGAGUUGAUAUUAAUAAUGCAUCAAGUUUGUAGCCGGAUUAAAUGUUCUUCCUUAAUCUAUUUACAAACAUAAAAUUUAGGAUAGGAGAAUAGAAAAUAUGAGGAUCACGAAAAAAGGGUUAUUUUGUUUUUUUUUAUUUUUCGAAUGAGAAGACGAGGGAAGUUUUAUGGAUCCUUUCCUUCUAAACUAUGAUUAAAUUUAUUGAGAUGAGUAACGUUUGAGAUAAGAAAAGAAUUAAAAACAAAAGGGGAAAGAAAAGAAAAGAAAAAGGAAACCAUAUCAUAUGAAUUCCGAAAUGAAGUAAACAUUCUUAUCCACUUAUAGCAUAAAAACAUGAUCAUGAACAAACAUGAGACAUUAGAAAAUUUGUCUAAAUAUGUAAAAAAAAAAAAAAAAAAAAAAAGGAAAAAAGUAGAAUAACUGAGAGAACAUGAGAGAAGAAGGUAGUGGGGGGUGGGAGAAGAAAAAUGAGCAAUUUCUCUACCAUCCUCUCAUUUCUUCCACCAUAUAUAUAAUGAAGUAGGGAGUGAACAUAUGUUGAAUGUUUUCAUCACCCCACAACAACCCCUCCCACCACUCUGAUUCCCCUUUAAUUAUCUUUAAACUAUUUCUUGCACGGUUUGAAUCUAGUGACAGCUUCCUUAGGAGUACCUUAUUAGCUAUAGAGGGUUGUUUUGCUGCAAAGGGUCGUUUGUACAUACUAGUUAAGGCAAUCAUGAGGGACGUCUAUAUAUAUAUAUACACACACAUUGAAAGCAACCGGUUCUGAUAAGGUUAACCUAAUUGCAUCAAGGGCUUUGGGAUCCAUCAAAUUCCAUUUUGUUUCAUCCAUUGAAUCUUGCUUCUCUCCUAACAACAAAUACAAAUCUUUUUGGUAUAGAUAAUCCUUCAUGUGCAUCUUCCAUAAAUCAAAAUUUGUAUCAUCAAAUUUCUUGAUUUUGUAUGAUCCCAUUAUUUCUACUAAAAUUGUAAUUGGUCAAACACAUCAAGCUUAGGGUUUGUGAACCUUGCUUUGAUACCCGUUGUCAACCAAACAAUGCAUACACACAAGCGGAAAUAAAACAAAAAAAUGAGAUUUUUAAUGUGGUUCAACAAUCAAUGCGAUCUCUACAUCCAUGGGGUGCAUCACAUUAAAAAAUCCACUAAUCAAAGGAAAGAGGAGUAUAAUGAUGAAACUCUAAAAAAACUCUUUUCAUUUGCAAUCAUGCUCUCUAAAAAAACCUUAAAAAUAUAACAUGGUUAAAUAUACAAUGGGGGCAAAUUCGUCAUUCAUCACAUGCAAUGGGAGCUCAACCCCCAACAUCUUGAGUAAAGCACAAUAAAAUUGAUUUAGACUUCACAAUUCAAUAACAAUAGCUUACUUGAUGAUGCUAUCUCAUCUUGUUUUUUAUAUCUUUCAAUAUUCCAAGAGGAUUUUCAAAUUUUGAAUGAUACACUUAUAGACCUUUGGAUUGGAGAAGGUUUUCUGGAUGAAUUUGCAGCUUACAUGAAGCCCAUGAGCAGGGAUAUUGAAUCAUUGGAAGUCUAAAGUUUGCAUGUCUAUUUGAGGAAGGUCAACUUGAAUAUCAUAUCAAGAUGCAUGAUGUGAUUCAUGACAAGCGUUAUGGAUAGCUUCUGAAUAUGGUGGAAAGAAGAAUGAAAUCUUGGUACAAGAAGGCAUCAUUUUGAGUGCUGCUGAAGUCACAAAAUCGAAGGAGGCACAUAGAAUGUUGAUAUGGGAUAACAGUUUUGAACUCACUGCACGCACCCCAUUUUCCCAAUCUCCUUACUCUAAUCGUGAAAUCCGAUGUACAAGAGAUAAUAUUUCCCACUGGAUUCUUUCCGUUCAUGCCAAUUAUGAAAGUUUUGGACUUAUCCCAUUCUUAUCUAACUAAGCUACCUGUGGGAAUAGGUAAAUUAGUUAGUUUACACUACCUUAAUUUGUCAAAGACAUGUAUAAUUGAAUUGCCGAUGGACCUCAAAGAUUUGACAAAUCUAAGGUGUUUGAUACUGGAUUCUACUUACUCAGAAUAAUUCCUUCCCAGCUGAUAUCAAAGCUUUCGUCAUUGCAAUUAUUUAGUAUGUGCAUUGACGACAGUUUUUCUUAUAUUGGGGGUGAACACCUAGUAGGCGAGUUGGAUUGCUAGGAACACAGAUGAGAUUUCCAUCACCACACCUAGUCUUCUAUCCAUUCAAAAGUUAAUCAAUGAGCUCUUGGAAGUUGCAGAUGGGGAUAAGAUUAUGGUAAAUUGUAAUGGAACCCUUUAUGAGAGGGACUAUAACCCAAGAAAAUGCAAGGAAUGCUGCGGGGAGAAAGUUUGUUAGGCAUAUAAUCACGCAAGCAAGGAUAAACACGACAACCAAAAGGAUGAAAAUUCUCAUAAUGUGGAGAGUAGCCGUAUAAAAGUUCAAAGGGUGACUUACCACCAAGAAGUGGAGUGGGCAACCGGUUGAUGAUAUAAGUUGCAGUGCUGAAAGCGUCAACCCAGAAACGAGGAGAAAGGUGGGAGUGGAAGAGGAGGGUCAAGCCAGUCUCAGUCACAUGACGAUGUUUUCUCUCAGCACGACCAUUUUGAGCAGGUGUAUAUGGACAAGAGAGUUGAUGAUGUAUGCCAGAAGUACGUAAGUGAGCUUUGAAGCAAGUAUUAGUAAAUUCAGCACCUCCAUCACUUUGAAAAACCUUGAUACGAGCGAAAUGUUGGUUUUCCACAAAUUUUUUAAAUUGAAGAAAAAUAUCAAAGAAAUCAGAUUUAAAUUUCAAAGGAUAAAGCCAAGUAAAUCGGGAAUAAUCAUCAAUAAAAAUAACAUAGUAAAGAAAACCGGAAUUUGAUUUGAUGGGGGAAGGACCCGGAAGAUCACAAUGAAUAAGAUCUAACACAUGAGACGACCUAUGUUCAUUUCGGGAAUAAGGUAAUCGAUGAUUUUUCGCAAGUUGACAAGUACUACAUAGUGAGGGAGAAGGCAAUAAAGACAUAAGAGAAAGAUGUCCUUUUUUAUGUAAAAAAGAAAUUACAAAAUAAUUCACAUGACCUAGGCGAGCAUGCCAUAAAUCAUAUGAAGCACGUAGAGAUUUAUUUUUAAGGACAGAAAUAAAGGCAGAGUUGCCGCGCUCCAACACAUAUAACCCUCCAUCUCUUUUACCGGUCGCCACCACCCUUCCUGUUUGACGAUUCUGGACAGUAAAAAGAUUAUUAGUAAAUGUAACGGAGAGAGGAAAAUCAGACGUUAAUUUACUAAUGGAAAGAAGAUUUUUUAUGAGAUGAGGGACAACCAAUACAUCUAAUAAGUGAAUAUUUGGAACAGAAGAAAGAGUACCAGUGUGGGUAAUGGGUAGAGAGGCACCGUUUCCUACGAUCACAGAGUCCUUACCCAUGUAAUUUUUGGACUGAUCCAAAAUAGAUGGAUCGGUGGUCAUAUGAGCCGAAGCUCCGGUGUCCAAAAACCAGUCAGCAGCCUCGGGUCCAGAAAGAGAACAAGAUGUGUUGAAGGCCUCGGCAAGAUGAGCAGAGGAAUCAGUCCGAGCAUACCGUUGGUUGCAACGGUCAGCAUAAUGGCCCUCUAUGCGAGAAAUUUGGCAGCGAGGUGGUCGACGACCAUGACCAGAGUAGGUUCGUCCUCGGUUGGAAGAGUUGUUGUUGUGGGAAUGAGAACGACCUCGCUGGUUGUUACGGAAAGCAAAUGGAGUUCCAUGGGAAGUGGUGCGACUGCGAUUAGUGGCUGUGAAUGCCGCAGUGGUGGGUUCAGAAGACUCAAGGGAUCGCUGGAACAACUCAAAACUUUCAGCUUUAGAAACUAGAUCUGCAAAAUAGGGGAGAGGGGUGAGAGACAUUUGAGCUGUAGAAAAAUUGGAAAAAUCGGGGCCGAGUCCACGAAGGAACUAGUGCACUUUGUCAGUGUCCUCGACGGGUCUUCCAAUGGCAUGAAGCUGGUCACAAAGUGUUUUGAAGGUACGGGCAUACUCAGCAACGGGUUUGGUGCCGCGUUUCAUCAGCUGCAAGUCAUCCUUGAGUUGUAGUUAACGGGCUUUCGAAUGAUGGCUGAAUGUAUUCUCCAAUGCGAGCCAAACUUCACGGGCAAUGGAGAGACCAACAACGACAGCAAUGGCUUCCUCGGUGAGAGAGGAGAGCAAGAGACAGAGCAGCCGUUGAUCAGCUGCUUUCCAUGCCAGAUAUUUGGUGCUGAGUGUGGUAGAAGUUUCUGGUUCAAAACGGGGUGGUGGAACAAGAGUUCCAUCAACGUAGGCCAACAGGUCUUGACUCUCAAGGAGAGGAAGAAGUUGGCUUUUCCAGAGAAGAUAAUUGGAGGAAGAAAGCUUGAUGGUGAUCAUGUGGAUUAGAGUGUUGAAAGGAAGAAGAUGAGAGGAUUCAGAAGCCAUGGAGAAAAAUGGAUUGGGGUUGCUAAACCAGAUUGGCUCUGAUACCAUAAGAAUAUUUGUCAAACCACCACACUUGAGAAGGUGGUGAGAGUUUUUUAUUUAUAAUUAUUUACAGAAUAUUACAAAUCAAAUAAUAUCAAACUGAUUACAAAAGAAAUGGAAAGUAGGAAAUAAUAUCAAACUAAUUACAAAGGAAUAGCAUGUAAUCAAGGAUCAAAUAUGAUACAUAUGGUAAAUUGUAAUGGAAAGGCUAAGUAUCCUUAACAAAGAUGGCUAUUAAUCGGAUGCUGUGAAGGUUUGACCACACUCAAACUGUCAUCUUCACUACAAAGAAUGGAGAAUUUAAGUACGGUGUUUUGUAGUACUUUGGAAAAGAUAAAAGUAGAUCUGGGAAAUGAAGGGAGGGAGGGGCCCGUACCAGAUAAUAUCAGAUACUCGAAGUUCCACAACCUUCUCAGGUAACCAUUGAAUUUUCCCAGAGUUGUUGGACUUGACAUGGCUUAUUUAUGCCCCAAGCCUACAGGAGCUUUAUGUGCAAGAGUGCUCAUCAAUGGAGCGAGUUAUGCAUGAUGACCAUGAAGUUUCAGAUAAGAAAAGCAUAUUCUCUAGACUCACAGCUUUAUGUUUGAGGAAUCUACCAAAUCUAAAGAGAAUCUAAGGGUGGGCCUUGGCAUUUCCUUCCCCGAAAGAGGUUCAUGUGACAGGCUGCCCAAAUCUGAGGAAGCUGCCAUUGGAUUCCAACAGCUCAACCAGUACCUUAAAGCAAAUUACAGGGGAAUCAAGCUGGUGGGAGGGAUUGCGGUGGGAGGAUGAAUCCUUAAACCAAACUUUCACUCUGUCUAUUGUAUUUGACGUUUGAUCUGGCCUAACGGCAUGGUGAUUGAAGAAGGAAGAUGGCGGAGAAGCGGCACCUAGAGUCAUAUAUAUAUCACGGAGUGAUCAUGGUCCCUGACGCCCAGUUACUCUCUUCGGAAAUGCUCUUCCUAGAUGGAUGUUAUUAUGCAUGUGUGUUUCAUCAUCUUUGUUUACGAAUUAAGACAAAUGUUAUUACUGUCUUCUUUGAACAGUUCUUUCACUAGCACGGGUUAACCUUCUAACUCACUCAACCUGCACAAGUCAGUGUCCUACUCCAUAACAUAACAUUAUUUUCAACAUUUGUCAUAAAUCGAUACCAAAUCUUUACAUUUUUAGGGAGGCAAACAGGUUGCACCUUUCAUCAUAAAAAACAGGACGAGCAUAAGGAGAAAUUACAGAGAAAAUACAAAACUCAAUUAAUAUCCAUGAUACAACAAGUGUAUAGAAGAACGUAUUUAAGUCUUUCUUUAGCAACCUCAAUCUCUAAGCUGGACAACUUCUUAUGUAUUUGUAAUUUUGUAACACUACUCGUCUUCCAUGGAAGCAUAGUUUCGGAUCACACCAUCCAAAGAAGCCACAUGAAAAGCUAGUCUUCCAUUUAGGACAACCACAUGAUCUUCUUCGAUUAUUAGCAAACGUCCAAGAUGUCUUAAAUUGAGCUGUCAAACCACAGUUGCAGAUUAUGUUCCAAUAUCAAUCACACAAAUUUCCAGUUAUUUUAAACGUGAUAUCUAUUAAUUGCAAAAUACGAUAACCUUUGAAAUCAACAUAUGGCAAACAUCCUAAAACCCACCGCACUAAAAUCCAUGAAACCUACAAAAUCCAUAAAAAAAUUGAAACGUAAGAACUUACCUUCACAGUUUGAGGUCACAGCAUGAGAAAGAGGGGACGAAAUUCCAUAGUGAGGUCCCAUUAUCACAAGAGGAAUUAUUUAGUGCCAUAAGCAUAUAAAAGAAUCUCGUCUUUCAUUGCUUAAGAAUAUUGAUAGACUAAAAAUAAGAAUGAAGAUGUAUAUAAUGCUGGAGAAAGCAACCUUUUAGUAUAGUAGUAUUCUAUAUAUAAGUGAAAUAUCAGAGUGAUUAUUCUCCUUUAAAAAGAAUCUUAUCCCAAUCAAACCACCUUUUUUUUACCUUAUCGGAUACUCAUUAAGAAGGAGAGUACUUCCGGUUCAAGGCUUUGACUUCAUACUCGCUUACACCCACGCCCUUAGACCCCUAAAAAGGCACUUAAGACUGCUUAGAAGGAAUUAGCAUUCGGUAUAAAGGAAAGGGAUAAAAAUAUACUUCUUACCUUUCAACUCCUGGCACUAGGGGGAACUACAGGUAGUGGUAUGAAGAUUAAGACUAGUUAGUAUACUGGUACACUCUGAUAAUUGAUCCCUGGAUUCCUGCAAUGAGAAUGAUUAUAAUGAUUAUGUGACCAAGUUUUUAGGCUGAUAUCAAUCUAAGACUCUUCUUUGUCAUAUGUAUUCUACUGGUUGUAAUUUUUUUACUUUCAUAUAUGAGUUUUUUUUUUCCUUUUGAUCCAAAAUCAUAACUUCUUUCUUUCUCCAUAACUCAGAAGCAAAGAAAGAAACUAUCCAUGUGAGGCUUUAUAGAGGUGAGUGGCACGCGACUUUGUUCCAUUAGCAUUUGACAAAAAGAAUUAUAAAAUUCUUAUCCACUUCGUUGAGAAAAGCAUCAACGAUGACCAAAUUUCAGAAAUUUGAAAUUGGUCGCUCCCACACAAAAAAGAGAAGGAGAGAGAGAGAGAGAGAGGAAAGGAAAGGAAAGUACCUAUAAGAUCAUGGAAGAGAAAGGUUAAUCUUGGAAGUAGUGAUUGAAAGUGUUCUUAAUGGUUUCAUUCUCCCACUGCAGCCUAUCCCACCACCAUCUUCUUCCUUUAAUUGUCUUCAAGCUGUAGGUGUCACUGUUGGAAUCCAACGGCAGCUUCCUUAGGAAUGGGCAAUGUUCCACCGAGAGGUCUGUCAGGGAAGUGAAUGGCAAGGCCCGUCCACAGAUGCUCUUUAGAUUAGGUAGAUAAUCCAAUUUGAGUACCCUGAGUCUUGAGAAUAUGCUCAGAUUUUGUGAAACUCCAGUCUCAUCUCGGAUCACUUCUUUCAUGGAAUAACAGUCAGUUACUUCAAGAACUUCAACGCUUGGGAUGUAAAUAAGCCAUGUCAAGUUUAACAAGUUUGGGAGUUGAUAAAUAAUUAUAUUACAAAGGCUGUGGAAGUUUGAGCCUGGGAUAUAAUCUACCACAAAUCCCCGUCUCCUCUCUUGUGUUGGAUCUACUUUUAUCUCUUCCAAAUCUCGACAUAUCCGUAUUUCAAGCGUCUGUAGAUGUUUCAUUCUUGGCAAGUGGAGUAAGGCCACACACUCCAGGUUCCCAAGGGUUAACCACUUCAUGGCAUUCUGUAGCUUUUGGGAGCUCAAUAAUAUUUGGAAAGAUGGAGCACCUUCUAUGGGAAAAGAGACCUCAUUUAUGUGUACCAAGGAUUCCAUCUCCUCUAAUAAUGCUCUGUUUUCAUCCUCCCAUAAAUACCUAGGUUUAUAAUCAUAAUCCUUGGCUUCCAACUCCUCGAAUAAAGCAUGACAAUCCUUUGAUAAAUAAUAAGCUUUCAACUCCUCAAAGAAUGCUUUAUUAUCAAAAUCAACUUUAUUAUUCUCCCAUGAAUCAUUAGCAUCCUCCAGGUUGAAUGAAUAAUGGGCUUCCUCUUCCUUCCAUUCAUGAACUCUUCUUAAGCUAAAUAAUUUCAAUGAUGAGAGAUUUAAUACUACUUCCUUGGGAAUUAUCUUAAGACAUGCCAUCCAAUCCAAUAGUAGACACCUUAGACUUGUCAAAGACUUGAGCUCCAUGGAUAAUUGGCUUAGGUUUGUUUUUGACAAAUUGAGAUAUUGUAAGGUAACUAAUUUGCCAAACCCAUCAGGUAACCGACUUAUGGAAGUGUGUGACAAAUCCAAAACUUUUAUUGCCGGCAGCAUGAGAUGAAAGAAUCCACUUGGAUCUACUUUCACAUUCUUAACAACGAAGGUUAAGAGAUUGGGAUAAGUUGUUGGCACCAUGAGGUAUUUCAUGCUAUUACUCCACAAUGAUAUCUGUUGCGUCUCUUGCCAAUUUGAAACUUGAUGGGCUUCCAAGGUAUCAUCUUCUACUACCAAAAUUUUGUUCUUGUUGCCACUAUAUUCUGAAGCUAACCAUAAAGCCAUAUCACGAAUAACAUCAUGCAUCUUGACUUGAUUGUCUUUAACACUCUCAAAUAGACACACUACCUUUAGAUGCUCAAUGAUGUUGCGCCCCUGGUUCUGUGCUUCAUGUAUGUUGUCAAAUUCAUCGAAAAACCCCUCUCCAAUCCAAAGGUUUAUAAGAUCAUCAUUCAUGAUUUCAUAAUCCUCUUGAAAUAUAGCAAGAUAUAGAAAACAAGACUUGAUGGUGUCAUUUUUCAAGUUAUCAUAACUGAAUUUUAGAAUCGGAAAUACAUGAUCUCCCAAACCUGAAAACUUUGAUGGAUAAGUCUUCAACAUUUGUAUGGCUCGCUCCCAUUCUUGUGGUGUGCUCUUGCCGACCAUAGCUCUCCCAAUAGUGAUGAGUGCAAGUGGUAAACCUUUGCACUCUUUAGCAGCAAUUUCGGCAAACUGGGGUAUAUCUGGAUGUGAAUUUAGAGUGGUCUCUCCAACCUUCUCCUUGAACAAAUUGAUGGCCUCCUCUUCUGUCAAACACUCAACCUUAAUGCUUUUUUGAGCUUCCAUAUCGCGACAAACAUCCAGAGAACGGGUUGUUAAUAUUACUUUGGACUUGUUUUGGGAAUUAGGAUAAGGAACCCCCACUUUUUGGAGAUCAAGCCGCUCCCAUACAUCAUCUAGCAGCAUCACAAACCUUUUUGCCUUCAAGACAUUGAAAAUUGCUAUUGCUUUUUCAUCCUCAGUUCUGUUUCUCCAUCUAUUAUCCGGGAUGUCUAACUUGUUGCGAAUGACUUCUUGUACUUUUUCCACACUUGCUGGCCUGGAUACUACGACCCAAAUGGCCACUUCAAAGUCAUUGCAUGUUUUGAAGUACUCAUUAUUGAUUUUGGUCAUGAUGGUAGUUUUCCCGGCACCCCCCAUUCCGUACAACCCAAUAAUUCCCAGCUCCUCAUCUUGGAUGCAUCUGCAAACCUCUGUAAACAUCAGAUCUAAGCCCACAGUCUUCUCCAUCGGCCUCUCAUCCACCGGAGCUUGAGGUAACCCAUCAGCCACAACAUCAAAGCGUCCCUUGCUCCUUAAUUCAGUCACAGCACCCAGCUUUUUACUCGCUUUCUUCCCGAGCUUGUAGCUGGACCGGCAGUUUCGGGGGCAACAAGUUUCAGGGCAUUUCUUCUGGAUUUCAUGAUCGCCUUUCUCCAGGAUCUCGUUGACUUCUAGUUCCAUGGCUAGGACGCUAUGGAACCAGCCGUCCACUUCAUUUGUGCGCUUCAUUUGCCGUUGCUCUUCAAGUUCAACUCUUCCCUUCACAUCUUCAUAUACAUUCUUCAGCUCCUGCAUUGCGUUUCUUAAAGACUCCAUAUUUUCCUGCAGAUCCCUGAUGUAGACUGCAUGCUUGGCUGUGCAGUUCCAUACGCGAGUUACAACAUCCAAGAUUGGGCUCACACAAUCCAUUCCUUGCCUUGAGAGAUGAAAGAAACAAGAGGUGAGAUUCAAGAAAAGAAGAGAAAGUGGGAGAGCAGAGAAGACUUGUGGUUGUCGAAAACAGUUCAAUCUCUCCGAUUAAGGAAUUCCAAUAUGGGUGAUCGCAUUAUUGCUAGUUACACUGUUGGAGGACACCCCUGACCCCACCUCCGACAUAACUUCAAUAAUUUUAUUCAAAGGCUGCUUUUCCACGCAAUAUCAUUUUCUUUUCAGAGUGUCGACUUUACUUUCUGAAAAGACAAGGAAGUUUCAUAUCAAGAUCCCAUAGUGUUUCCUGUUAUGAGUCCCUGGUCACAUUCUGGGUGUGAUUAAUUAGUCAGAGUUUUAGCUCUUCACUUGUGGUUGUCAAAAACAGAUCAAUCUCCCUGAUGAAGGAAUUCCAAUUCGCAGUGUGGACUUUACUUUCCAAAACGAAAAAAAAGUUUGAUGUCAAGAUUCCAGAGUGUUUCUUAUUUUGAGUCCCUGAUCACAUUAUGGAUCUGAUUCGUCUGGGCUUUAGCAUUUCAAUAUAUCAGACUGCUCCUCAUCCCUUUGAAGUGAUUGAUCAAGGGAGGCUAUUGGUUAUUAAUGGAGCUGAAUAUGCAAUCCUUUGGAAGGCGUUGUGCUGUGCAAUGACAUCUGAUAAUGGUGAUUAGUGGCCCACAAUCUUGAUUAAUGGUGGCGAAAGAGAUAAGGCCACUACCAUUCUCCUGUCCCACAUUACUUCAAUAAUGCAAAGUAACGAGUACUCCACUACUCACCAGUUUCAUUAAGCUUCUAUUCCAAAUCUAUUAUUUCCCCUUACCUACUCUGCUUCAACUAUCAUAUUUAAUCAAGUAUUUAAUAAUUUAAAAUCAAAUUAUUAAUUAUUUGUUUCAUUUAUGAUCUCCAUAUCAUAUUAUGAUGGAUCAGGUCACCCACAAAAACGAAGAAAUAUGAUUGAAAACUGAAAUUACUAAGAGAUUUCUACAAUGAAAUGUGAACAAAUUAAGUGAAAUUUGAAUUGAUCUUCAAAAAUAGGUUCCCAUGAACAAAAACUAACCCAAAUUUAUUGGAGCAAAUGUCCGAGCUAAAAGAAUGUAAACAAAGUUGAAAAUGGAUUCACCAUUACCAUCUUCAAGGCUUCAAGAAUAAAAAUUAAAAUUUUCAUAAUAAUGCUUUAAAGCAAGCAUUUUUUCAUAGUUAUGUGAAAUAAUUUUUAAAAUAAACAUGCAUGGGACCAUAUAGUUGUAAUUCAGUUUAAUUGGAAAAAAAAAUCAGGAGACAUAAAUAUUAAGUCUUUUUGCUUAAGAUGUUUUCUAUUUUAUUUUCAAAGAAAAAAGAAAAUAAAUUGGAGAAUAUUGUUAGGGAUCCAUCUACAUUAUUAAAGUGUAUUUUUUUCUAUAGGUAUCGAAAGACAUCAUUGAUAAGGUGGUGACACAUAUACAUCUUCAAAUCGGUUUUUUUAUUUAAUUAUUCUAAUCAUAUUUAUUUAUAUUUUUAUACAUUAAUCUCAUUUAUUUGUACUCUUAUUUGAUGACCUUGAUUUUACCAUACACAUUCAAUAGUUUAGAUUUAGAGUUCAAUAGGUAUAUAUAUUAUAUGUUUGGAUACUUAGUUUCUGUUUCUAUUUUUUAGGAAAUUGAGUUAUAAGUGAAAAUAAUAUUUUGAUGUUUUUGAAAAUUUUUAAAUAAAAUGAAAACAGUCUUCUCAUAAGUAAAAGGAUAAAAAUAAAUAAAAUAAUUUAAAGUUUGAGAUACUUCCCAACAUUGAUUGUUGGGUGCUUCAAAUUCCUUUUGCGUUUGAAUUGCUUUAUUUUAUGUUUUUUUUUCAUUAAUACGUUUACUUUGAUACCUUUGUUGACACAACAAUUGGUCCCCAAGCCCAGGUUAAAAUUUGUGAAAAGCUCAAAAGGAACACAAAAACACAAUACAGAAGAAAUUUUAGUUGAAUGUGUAGUCAAUUGUCCUCUUGUAAAGAAGUGAUAGAAAGAUUCAAUUAUGUUUUUCAUCUUCGCAUUUUUUAAAGAUUUAAGGAUAUUUUGUAGAUUAAAGAUAGAAACUGCUUGUUUGAGUUUUAUUCUGAUUCACCUAUAUUUAUUUAAUAAAAUAAAAAAGUAAAUAAAAUUUCUAUCGUCUAUGUAUGAAGUCAAUUUUUUUAUAAAAAAAAAUCAUAUCAUGACCGGUUUUAACAAGAUCAUUAAUCUAUAUCUAAAAUCAUCAAAUUUUCUAAAUUAUAUAUCAUUAUAUAACCUUAAUUUCUAUUAAAAAGAUAAUAAAUUAGUAUGAGUGAAAUAAAAUUCUAACAUUCCAUCAACGAUAAAUACAGCUAAAAAUAGUUAAAAGAAGCUAAAAAUUUAAAUUGUUCCAUCAUUUUAUCUUUAAUAAUAUAAUAGUGAACAAAUGAUAAAAUACAAAUGUAUCAAUAUUUUGUAUUUUAUAAAGUAAAAAGUGAUUAAUAUUUUAUUAUUAAAAAAGAUCAAUCAUAUAUUAAAGAGAGAAAUAUAAUUUUAUUAUUUAUUUAUUUAUUCUUUCUUUAUUAACUUUAUAUUUUACAAUUUUUAUUCACAUUUUAUUAAAUUUACAGCUUUAUGAUUUUGUUGUUUGGUGAUGAUAUAAAUAUGUGUAUAUAUAAGCAUAAUCAAAGUCAACAUGGCAUAAAUGGUUAUGGUCUUAAUCCUCUGCUUGUUUGAAUUAUUUAAUAGCAAAUUGAACUAAUGAGGCCCAAUUUCAAAUUUCCAUUUUCUAUGGCACAUAAUAUAUUUGGAUUACUUAUUAGAAAUGAAAAUAAAAAUAAAAUAUUCAUUUUCAUUGAAAUCAAAACACAUUCAUAUACGAUUCUCUUUUUCACAAGGUAUCUAGCUUCACCUCUAUUUUCAUUUCAAUCCUCACACAUCAAACAUUCCCAAACAGUUUCAAGGGCAAGGGUAUUGAGGCAUGCUCAUUUCCUAUGGUGUUAUAAUAUGAACUAAAAUUCUCUAAAUAUGUCAUGAGAUGGAAGGACAUACGCUCGAACCCCUUUAAUGUAUGUGCUUUCAAAAACUAGAUUGGUGAAGUAUUAACUAAAAUUUAUUUCAAAUCCCAAGUUGAGAAAUUGUCAUUCUAAAUACAAACACUCCAAUCCAUUAAAGCGAAUAAAAAUUAUAGUAGCUUCAUGGUAUACAAUCCAAAUAUACAAGAGUUCUUUUCACUCAUCUUUACACACAAUAUAAGCACAAAGGAAUUUUUAUUUUAUUUUUUGUCUCUUUGGAUGAUUAUUUCUGCAAUCCACCAUGUGCACACUUAGCAUCCAGAAAUUCAAACAUUUGCAAGAAGUUUCAGUUGAGUCCGACCAUUCUUCAAAAUCUUAUCCUACAAAAACAAAAACAUAAAUCAGUUGGAUCAUUGGCCUAUAAUCUAAAUAAAAAAAAAUUAAGUGAAUCUAAAUAUUUAACUUACAUGCAAACAACAAUUCAUGAACGUUAUCAAUCAUAACAAAUUCUAAUAAGUAGUUGUAAAGGAUACGUGUAAACUAGAGUUAUUUACAAUUUAUAUAAUGGAAAUGUAAACAAAUGAAUUCAAAUUUAAAGUAAUAUUCAGAAAUAUGUACCCAUAAACAAACAACUAAUCCAAAUUCUUUAGAAUUGUAUGCCCAAAUUAAGAUGAUGUAGACAAAGUGUAAAAUAAGUUCAUUUUUAACAUUUUCAUAAUAAUUCACCAAAGUAGGUAUUUUCAUAGUCUAAAUUCCUCAAGAGUAAAAUAAUUUUGAAAAUAAACAUGCAUGUAAGAGAUGGUUUUAAUUAAGUUUCAGUGUAAAAAAAAUAAAAAUAAAUAAAUUCAAGAGACAUAAAUAUUAAGUCCUUGUCUCUAGAAAAAAUAAUAAAUAAAAAGAUCGAGAUUAUAUUAAUGAUGCAUCAAGUAUGUUAUUGGAUCCAAAAGUUAUGUCUUAAUCUGUUUUACAAACAUGUAUUUUAGGAUAUGAAAGAGAAAAUAGGAUCAACAUUAAGAAAAGUUAUUUUGUUUGGAGUUUUAUUAAUAGUUUCUUUUUUAAACUAUAACUAAAUUCAUUGGGGUGAGUUAUGCGUGAGGUAAGGAAAAAAACUAAAACAAAAGUGGAAAUAAAAAUAAAUUUUAUCCACUUAUAACAGAAAAACAUGAACAUGAAGACACAUGAGACAUUUGAAACUUUGUCCCAAAAAAGAAGGCAGUACCUGCGAGAGGAUGGGAGAAGAAGGUCAUCUUCUCAUUUCUCCUCCGGAUCGCAUUUAAGUAGGGAGUGAAAGUGAGUUGAAUGGUUUCAUCCUCCCACUGCAACCCUCGCCACCACUCUGAUGUCCCUUCAAUUAUCUUUAAACUGUUUCUUGCACUGUUUGAAUCCAAUGGCAGCUUCCUUAGGUUUGGGCAUUUCGUCACACGGAGGGUUUUCAAGGAAGGAAAUGGCAAAGCUCGUCUGCUGAUGCUCCUUAGAUUUGGUAGGUAAUGCAAGGUCAAACCUUCAAGUCUUGAGAAUAUGCCAAGAUUUUCAGGGACCUCACUCGCAUCACCUAUCACUUCUUUCAUGGAUUCACAUCUAUGUACAGAAAGUAGUUCAAGACUUGGGAUGUAAAUAAGCCAUGUCAAGUCCAACAACUUUGGAAGUUGAUCAACAAAUACACUUCGGAGGUUGUAGAAAAUUGAGUUUGGGAUAUAAUUUGCUACAAAUCCCCAUCUACCGCUCUCAUUUUCUAGAUUGACUUUUAUGUCUUGUAGCUCCCCACAUCUACAUAUUGCAAGGGUACAUAAAUGUUUGAUUCUUGGCAAUUGGAGCAUCCUCAUACCUUCCAAGUUCCAAAGGUGUAAAUACCUCAUAGCAUUCAGUAAUUUUUGGGAGUUCAAUAACUUUUGGAAAGACAGAGCACCUACAAUGGGCAAAGAGACCCAAUUUAUGUGCUCCAACCCUUCUAACUCCUCUAAUAAUGCUUUAUUAUCCUCAUGUAAAUAAAUAGCCUUAUCAUCCUUCCUUGAAUAAUCGGCUUCCUCCUCGUCUGUGGGUGACGAAAUAUCUGACAUGAUAUAUUUAAUUCUUAUGCUAAAAACUCUCAACAUUGAGAGAUGUGAUAUUACUUCCUUAAAAAUUAUUUCAAGACUACCAUCUAACAGCAGACAUCUUAGUCUUUUCAAAGUUGCAAGCUCCGCAGACAAUUCUUUUAGAUUUGUCUUUGACAAAUUGAGAUAUUGCAGUGUAACUAAUUUACCAAUUCCAGUAGGUAAUUUAGUUAUUCCAGCAUUUGACAAGUCCAGAACUUUUAUAACCGGCAUGAAAUGGAAGAAUCUACUCUCUAAUGUUUUCAAGCCUCUACUCUCAAAUUUUUUCAAGCCUCUACUCCGAGCAAUUAAAGUCAAGAGA
rnacentral:lncRNA from 1 species